GAUCAGUCACUCAAGAAAGGAAAGUCAACCUCCCAAGCAAAGCUAGAUAAUCCUUCGAAUCAAGCUUCGCGAAGUGCUGAAGUACUGUCCUUGUCAGAAAAGCUUGGCAGUUCCUUAAAACUCAAGUCCGGCAACAAUGCAGGAAGGGUAGUAAAUGCUGGAAGAAGUAACACUGACUUGGGAACAGGACAGAAAUCAUCUAAGGUAGCUCCUCUACGGAAACUGCAGAUGCCGUCUCCGAAAGUCUUGUUAUCAUCACCGAAACAUAAUGUCUCUGGAAGAGUAGCUAGAGCUUUGUCUUCUCCCAGGGUUUCCUUGUCCCCUAGAUCUUCUCUUGCUGGAGUUGCUGGCCUAAAUGCAGCGAAAAAUCGGGGUGGAAAAGUUACAUCUGGUUU
rnacentral:lncRNA from 1 species